rnacentral:lncRNA from 1 species
UAGCAGAUGGAUUGUGAGCCUAAUGUUGCUGCAAGUUUACAAGCCUUGAUAUCAUUCUGCAGCAAUGUUGCAGGUCAUGUCUGGUUUGGUGUAUGUGCAUGUUGACUUGGUUUUAGUGUUAUAAUUGUAGGUUUAACAUGUUGCUGCAAGUUGAUGUCCAUGUGAUAGCCUGGUUCAUGCAUCAUAAUGGUUCAAUAUGACAUCAAGUUUGGAAACCAUAAGCAACAAUGUGUCAUUGAUCAAUCAAGAGGCAACAUGGAUCAUGGAAAGAUUAGGGAUGAAAUUAGGAUUAGGUAUAGGGAAAUUAGGGUUUGUAUAAUUUGGGCUUGACUUUGGUCAAAGUUGACCAAAAAGUCAACUAUUGACCAAAGUCAACAUUUGGUCAAAGUUGCCAUUUCUUGUAUUUUUGAUGUAAUGAAC